rnacentral:rRNA from 1 species
AUGGCGACCGGCGCACGGGUGAGUAACCCGUAUCCAACCUGCCGAUGACUCGGGGAUAGCCUUUCGAAAGAAAGAUUAAUACCCGAUGGCAUAGUUCUUCCGCAUGGUAGAACUAUUAAAGAAUUUCGGUCAUCGAUGGGGAUGCGUUCCAUUAGCUUGUUGGCGGGGUAACGGCCCACCAAGGCAUCGAUGGAUAGGGGUUCUGAGAGGAAGGUCCCCCACAUUGGAACUGAGACACGGUCCAAACUCCUACGGAAGGCAGCAG